GCACGUGUGGCGGAAUUGGCAGACGCGCACGGUUCAGGUCCGUGUGAGGUAACAGUCGUGGAAGUUCGAAUCUUCUCACGUGCACCA
rnacentral:tRNA from 1 species